rnacentral:tRNA from 1 species
ACUAUUUUGGCAGAAAAAGUGUAAUGGUUUUAGAAAUCAUAAAUAUAUAAUUUAUUAUAUAAGUAGUA